AUUGAACGCUGGCGGCAGGCCUAACACAUGCAAGUCGAGCGAGCGGCGGACGGGUGAGUAAUGUAUGGGGACUGCCCGAUAGAGGGGGAUAGCUACUGGUAACGGUGGCUAAUACCGCAUACUUCCGGACAACCCAUAUGGGAUUAGCUUGUAGGUGGGGUAAAGGCUCACCUAGGCGACGAUCUCUAGCUGGUUUGAGAGGAGGAUCAGCCGCAGUGGGAGUGAUACACGGCCCAGACUCCUACGGAGGCAGCAGUGGGGGAUAGUGCACAAUGGGCGCAAGCCUGAUGCAGCCAUGCCGCGUGUGUGAAGAAGGCCUUAAGGUUGUAAAGUACUUUCAGCGGGGAGGCGUUCCCCGCAGAGGAUGCACCGGCUAACGCCGAGCCAGCAGCCGCGGUAAUAC
rnacentral:rRNA from 1 species